CACACCGCCCGUCACACCAUGGGAGUGGGCUGCACCAGAAGUCGGUUGCUUAACGAAAGAGGGCGCUGACCACGGUGUGGUUCAUGACUGGGGUG
rnacentral:rRNA from 1 species